AAAGUCGUAACAAGGUUUCCGUAGGUGAACCUGCGGAAGGAUCAUUAAAGAUUUGGCCCUCGGGCCUAAAUCCACCUCUUUGGCUGUGCGCCUUUGGGCUGCACGCCAUUGAGUAAACCCACACACACCAUGUGCACCCACAUUUGGUUGUGGCAGGUCCUAGGAUCGGCCGCUUCCAAAACAAUUUACAUGUAACCAGUCCAGAAUGUAACAAAACUAUAAAGUAACAACUUUCAACAACGGAUCUCUUGGCUCUC
rnacentral:misc_RNA from 1 species